GGUUAGGUGGCUUGGUGGUAAAGUGCUUGCCUUGCAUGCAUGAGGCCCUGGGUUCGAUUCCUCAGCACCA
rnacentral:tRNA from 1 species